GACGAACGCUGGCGGCGUGGAUUAGGCAUGCAAGUCGAACGGUAUCAUCCUUUCGGGGGUGAGAGAGUGGCGAACUGGUGAGUAACACGUAGGUUAUCUACCCUCAAGACGGGGACAACCCAGGGAAACUUGGGCUAAUACCGGAUGUGAGCAACUUUUAGUUGUUUGAAAGGUGGCGUAAGCUGUCGCUUGGGGAUGAGCCUGCGUCCUAUUAGUUAGUUGGUGAGGUAACGGCUCACCUAGGCAAUGAUAGGUAGGCGGCCUUAACGGGUGGUCGCCCACACUGGGAUUGAGAUACGGCCCAGACUCCUACGGGAGGCAGCAGUCGAGAAUAGUCUACAAUGGUCGGAAGACUGAUAGUGCGACGCCGCGUGAACGAUGAAUCCCUUCGGGGUGUAAAGUUCUUUUAUAUGUGAGCAGUGCUUCUUAUAUUAACAGUAUGGGGAAGAGAUAUUAGCAUAUGAAUAAGCAACGGCUAACUCCGUGCCAGCAGCCGCGGUAAUAC
rnacentral:rRNA from 1 species